GGCCCGCCGAGCUCUGUCCCUGGAGAGUCUCACAGAUCCUCCUUCUCUCGGGACCAGUUCUGCACCAUCCUGGAACAGACAGUAGGAUAAUGAGUAGAAAUCCUGGUCAGGAAGGAUCGACAGAACUGGACAGCUGGCUGGUGAGAAAGAUAAGGAAAAGAGACCAAAAGGAAAAGAAAAAAAAAAGCCUCCAACAUCUUGAACCAAAGGAUUGGGAAGAGUCUGUCAGCAUCUGUUGAAGGAAUGGAGGUGCUAUUGCCUGGAAACUUGUUAAUAUGCUCUGGAGAAGACAGUUUCAACUUAUUUGGGGGCUGUUCUGCCCUGUGAGAGAAUGUUUGCAUCUGCGGCCAUUUUGUGCAACAAGGUGCUGUGGUCGUUACAGGGAGGUCGUCUUGCUCUCAAGGAGCUUCGACUUGAAGAGAGACAACAUACACCUGGAGGAGAAAACCAAUAGGAUAAAGCCAGCCACUUUUUAUUCAUCUCCCCCUGCACAGAGGUCGAACCAUCUAGAUGGAAGUGUUGUAAAAUGGGAAGAACAAACACCCCCCAUACCUUCAGUAGACUAACUCAACACUUUUCAUUCCUUUGAUGUUUAUCCUAUGAACAGUCUUCCCUCCCCCAUGGAACAUAAGUUUGGGGAAGAAUCUCAACCAAAAACUUGAUGUAGCG